UGGGGAAUAUUGGACAAUGGGGGCAACCCUGAUCCAGCCAUGCCGCGUGAGUGAUGAAGGCCUUCGGGUUGUAAAGCUCUUUUGGCGGGGACGAUGAUGACGGUACCCGCAGAAUAAGCCCCGGCUAACUUCGUGCCAGCAGCCGCGGUAAGACGAAGGGGGCUAGCGUUGUUCGGAAUUACUGGGCGUAAAGCGAGUGUAGGCGGUUGCCGUAGUCAGGUGUGAAAGCCUUGAGCUCAACUCAAGAAAUGCACUUGAUACUGGGUGACUAGAGGACCGGAGAGGAUAGUGGAAUUCCCAGUGUAGUGGUGAAAUACGUAGAGAUUGGGAAGAACACCAGUGGCGAAGGCGGCUAUCUGGACGGUUACUGACGCUAAGACUCGAAAGCGUGGGGAGCAAAACAGGAUUAGAUACCCUGGUAGUCCACGCCGUAAAACGAUGGGUGCUAGACGUUGGCGAGCUUGCUCGUCAGUGUCGCAGCUAACGCG
rnacentral:rRNA from 1 species